UUGAGAGGGAGCAUGAGAAACGGCUACCACAUCUAAGGAAGGCAGCAGGCGCGUAAAUUACCCAAUCCUGACUCAGGGAGGUAGUGACAAGAAAUAGCAAACCGGGAACCUCAUGGUUUCACGGUAUUGCAAUGAGAACAAUUUAAAACCCUUAGCGAGAAUCAAGUGGAGGACAAGUCUGGUGCCAGCACCCGCGGUAAUUCCAGCUCCACUAGCGUAUAUUAAAGUUGUUGCAGUUAAAAAGCUCGUAGUUGAACCUCUGUCUGGGGCUAGUUUUGGCUUUGGUCAGGCUAGUUCUAGGCAUCCGCCUACAAGACUUAGAGGGCAUUCAGUUGUUCACUAGGAGGAGUAGGCAUUUUACUUUGAAAAAAUUAGAGUGUUUAAGGCAGGCAAUCGCCCGCAUAUAUUAGCAUGGAAUAAUAGAAUAGGACACUUUUCCAUUUCGUUGGUUAUUGGAAUCGUGUAAUGAUUAAUAGGGACAGUUGUGGGCAUUUGUAUUUAAUUGUCAGAGGUGAAAUUCUUGGAUUUAUUAAAGACAAACUAACGCGAAAGCAUUUGCCAAGGAUGUUUUCAUUAAUCAAGAACGAAAGUUAGGGGAUCAAAGACGAUCAGAUACCGUCCUAGUCUUAACUAUAAACUAUUCCGACUCAAUGUUUGACUGGCUUAUAUAACCAGUUGAGCGUUGUAUGAGAAAUCAAAGUCUUUAGGUUCUGGGGGGAGUAUGGUUGCAAAGCUGAAACUUAAAGGAAUUGACGGAAGAGCACAACCAGGAGUGGAUUCUGCGGCUUAAUUUGACUCAACACGGGGAAACUUACCAGGUUAAAACAAUAGUGGGAUUGACAGUUUGAGAGCGCUUUCUUGAUUGGUUGGGUGGUGGUGCAUGGCCGUUCUUAGUUGGUGGAGUGAUUUGUCUGCUUAAUUGCGUUAACGAACGAGACCUUAACCUGCUUACUAGACUGGCGAUCAUCAAUCGUUAGCUCUUCUUAGAGGGACUUUGGUUGUUUUAACUCCAAGGAAGUUUGAGGCAAUAACAGGUCUGUGAUGCCCUUAGAUAUCCUGGGCCGCACGCGUCAUACAAUGACUAGUUCAGAAAGUUUUCUCCUGACCCGAAAGGGGAUGGGUAAUCUUGAUAAUACUAGUCGUGUUAGGGAUCGAUCUUUGCAAUUAUAGAUCUUGAACGAGGAAUUCCUAGUAAGUGCGGUUCAUCAGACCGUACUGAUUACGUCCCUGCUCUUUGUACACACCGCCCGUCGCUUCUACCGAGUGGGUGGUCCGGUGAGAUAAUUGAACUUCGCAGGUAACUGAGAGGAAAGAUUAUCAAACCUAUCCACCUCGAGGAAGAAGAAGUUGUAACAAGGUU
rnacentral:rRNA from 1 species